UCCCUGGUGGCUCAGAGGUUAAAGCGUCUGCCUGCAUUGUGGGAGACCCGGGUUCGAUUCCUGGGUUGGGAA
rnacentral:tRNA from 1 species